UGUCUCAUGGGAUUGUCAUGUUAUUCUCAUUUUGGAAUUCAUAGCCAGUUGAAUAGGAGCCACUGGAGUCAGGUUCAGGUUUGUUUUUCAUGAUACACACAGACUGCCCUAGAUCGAAAUUAAUAAAUACUGAGUAUGUCUAUUCCCACCAUCAGUCUCACUCACCUCACCUACCACUGAGUCCUAUAAAACCAUGCUUCACGUCAGCAACACACUCUUGCUGGCAGCAACCUGUCUGCUUGUAAAUGCAGGUGUCCUCUCAGAGACAGUUACCACCUGUGAAGGCGUCCAUCGCCUGAGCUGUGAUAUCGGAGUGAUCAGUGUUCAGACAGCACUGUACGGACGUGCUGACAGUGAGACCUGUAGUGAGGGAAAACCUCCACAAGAGACUUCUAAUACAAAGUGCUCUCUGGCGGAUGCUGUGGACAUCCUCAAGAGAAGGUGUGACGGAAAAACAGUGUGUGAACUAAACACAAAUGUUGUCGGAGUAUCUGAUCCCUGCCAUGGCACCCAUAAAUAUCUGCAGACCAAGUACACCUGCCUCCCAGCAAUUCACCAUGUGACAUGUGAGCACUCCUAUGCAGAACUGUAUUGUGAUGAAGGCCAGGUUAUAUUUGUCUACAGUGCUGAUUAUGGACGCCAUGACAAGACCACAUGCUCUUACAAACGGCCUGCCUCUCAGCUCGAAAAUAUUGACUGCUCACAAGCCACCAGCAAAUUAAAUGACAGCUGCAGUGGGAAAAACAGCUGUAUUAUCAAAGCAAGCAACUCAGUGUUUGGAGACCCAUGUGUUGGCACUUACAAGUACCUGGAGGUGGCUUACAUAUGUGAAUAUGAGCUGCAACCACAAGACUCCAGACCAGAGAGUGAGGAAGAGUAUGCUGAGCAUCAGGAGACAUAUGAGACAGAUGAGCUGCAACCACAAGACUCCAGACCAGAGAGUGAGGAAGAGUAUGCUGAGCAUCAGGAGACAUAUGAGACAGAUGAGCUGCAACCACAAGACUCCAGACCAGAGAGUGAGGAAGAGUAUGCUGAGCAUCAGGAGACAUAUGAGACAGGUACAUUUGAAUGAUGAGCUGCAACCACAAGACUCCAGACCAGAGAGUGAGGAAGAGUAUGCUGAGCAUCAGGAGACAUAUGAGACAGAUCCUGUGACCACUCUGGAUGAGUCUGUGGACACACAAUAAGAUCACAAUAAAAAAUACGCUAAAUCAGCA